AUUAGGGUUAGUUCUAGUGUGCUCAUGGUUAGGGUCUGUACUGACAUCACACAGAGGGGGCGGUGUUGAGGUACUAAUUAGCGGUAUUUGGGAACAGCUGAGUGGGCAGGUGAGUCUCAGGAAGUGAGACUGUGGGUUGAGAGUUUCUGGAGGGAAGUUGAACGACGGGAGUCAAAGCGUGGGCUAGUCACCUGGAGACGAGGAGCCGCUGCGGAGUUUCACAGAGAGAGAGUUGUUCGCCUACGGUGGCUGUGGACCUGUGGGUACUAUUCUCAUCGUAUCGAUCUUCAUACGGUCUUCAUAAAGGAAAGAAAAUCAUUACAGAUUGCACGACUUAUGAAUCUUGCAAUACAUGUGAACCUUUAUUGUAUAAAGUCCUACCUUGUGUAUAUGUUGUCCAUGAGGGUGCUAUUGUCAUCAUAGUUGAACGUAUUUGAGUUAGGUUUACUGCAGGGUUUAAAUCUCUAGAAAAUGUACACAUGAGUAAUGUAGGUAUAAAACAUAAUUGAGUCUACUCUCAUUUAAAUUGAACUCACCCUGUUUUGUUCCUGUCUGCUAGGGUACUAUUCUCAUCGUAUCGGUCUUCAUACAGCCUUCAUAUAGGGAACAAAAUGAAUGUGUAUGAAUCUUGCAUUUGAACCCUUUAUUGUCUAAAAACUCACCCUGUGGAUAUGCUGUCCAGGAGGGGGCUUUUGUCAACAUAUUGGUCCUCAGACAUUCUUCAUAUAGGAUGAAGAAUAUGCAUUGCAUCUGAAUCUGGCAUCGCAUAUGAGUGUACUCGAUAUUGUUAUUCGUUUAGUGUUUUCCCCUCAACUCACCCUGUGGAGUUGCGGUUCCAUAGGGUGGUGUUCUCAUCGUAUCGGUCUUCAUACAGUCUUCAUAUAGGAAAAUAAAUUAUGACAGAUUGCAUUGUUUAUAAAUCUUGCAAUACACCCUUUAUUGUCUAAAAACACUGCUGUCCAUGAGGGUGCUGUUUGCAACAAAUUGGUCCUCUGACAAUCUUCACAUUAUACAUUGCAUCUGAAUCAAGUAUCACACGUUUACAUAUUGUAAUUUGUUUCGUUAUUUCCUCUUAAAACUCACCCGGUGGAGUUGCUGUCAAUUGGAAUAGGCCUAUCGUCUACAGGCUGAACUCCUUCUCUAAAGAAACAAUGUUUAAACAGUUCACCAAUGUUGCGUGCUGAACUCUGAACAUUGCUUUCAAAGGGGAUGAAUCUCUUACCUGUUGACAUCUAACGAAGGUACAGGACUUCCAAAGACACAGCUCAUUAGUAGCACAACCACAGAACACGCAAGAUCCAUGUUGCUGGAACAUGAAGGUCUGUUCUUUCACCUUGAAAAACAAACAAUAUGGCUGAUUUAUAGCCGAUAGGUAUUUCUUUAAAACUCUUUUAAACUCUUUUUUUUUUUUCAUCCGCACAAUCUUUUUGUUGGCUAAUUUAGUUUUUUGUUUUAAUGGUAUGAUGUAUUAUAUUUUCAAAAACCAUUGUUCAGAACCGAUACUUCUGUCCAAGAGAAGGAAAAGAGCGUUAAGCCUACCCAAAUGCUAUUCAAAUAUGUACCGGGAUUGCCUCAGAGAACGGGUCCAGUGUGUAAGUCGAUGGGCUUGUUGACUCAACCCUGCCAGGGCCAGUGAAUGUAUUGAUCAGCUGUUGAAGUGUAAAGUUUGGGGGUUUCUGAUGAAAGUAUUGCAUUUCUAAUCGUUAUUCUAUGUAGGCCUACACACGUGACAUUUUGAAUUAAUUUGAAAUAUUUUGCAACCGACCACUACAUCGUUAUAGAUACUAAGGCUAUGCUAACUCAAAGUGUAUUAUCUCUGUUUUUGAUGCUUGGGUGUGGCCCAGACGAGUCUGUCCAGCAUCUCCCCCUGGAGCCCCAGACCUCUCAACCAUGUACAUCAGUCCUGUAGUGUAGAGCCCUAAUGCCACCUUGACACAUCUCCCCUCUCAUCUUCUUUCUCAUCCUCCUCUCAUCUCUCCUCUCUUCUUUUCUCCUUUUCCCAUCUCUCCUCCAUGCUAGCCUCCCCACUGACCCUAUUGACUUUUCUUUUUCAUAAACUUCAUAAACAAGUCUACAUAUUAAACGUAGUAAAAUAAAAAAUAUACAAAUAUUUGGUCUAGAUGGUCUGGUUGUAUUUAUUGCCAUUAUAUUCCACAGAUGACUGUUUGUAAAACAGCCAACAUAAAUAAGCAGGAUGGAUUUAUUAAACCAUGAAGUCCCUGCCCGCGGAAAAGUGCUGUACCGUAAGCAACAAUGUAGAUGCGCAAUCGCCUUUUCAACAUCCAUAACAAUCAUUUAAAAAUCUGUCUCCUUGUAAUGUUCCCAGUCCUACCACUAGGCGUCACUAUGCACAUUCACAUGUUUAUUCCAUCAUAUUGGGGACUAAUUUGUUAGGUUUAGUCAUAAAACACUUUCUAACAGAAAGGACUUUCUGUGUCGAUAUGCAUCACAUUAUUUCCUCAGAGAAAUAAUGUAUAUUGAAUGUAUAUUGAGCUAUAGAUUGCAAUGGUCCUGAAUCUGUAGAAGUAUGGAAUGGAAGUUCUUAUGGGGGCUGACUCCCCCAACGCAUUUGCCGCCCUAGGCGACCGCCUAGUUCGCUUAUGCCUAGUGCCGGUGUGGGUACCAGACCGGCUCGGCUUCAUG
ensembl:lncRNA